ensembl:lncRNA
GUGUCAGGCAAUCUGGACUUUCCAGUGAUGCCGCUGAGAUAGCACCCCUCAAAAGAGCAGUAUUUCCAUUUCUAGAUGGUGGAUCUUCAGAUAAAUUCUGCCAUUUUCAUUUCACUUCCUGAAAGUCAGGGUCAGCCCGUGAAAAAUUGUUAACAUGCUAAAUGUGAAAUGUCAACCCUCACUCUAAACUUUCCCUGUUCAGAGCAUCAGACAAAGACUUCGUUGGGUUUUAUAGUGGCUUUCUGAUUUUUGGUAGUCCAUUUAAGAAGGGCGUUUGAGACGGAGGACUCAAGAUGGCGCUGUGAGAACAACCCAGGAUUGGAGCUCUCGUUGAAUCCGCAAACGGGACAUGGAUGAAUCUGGAGAACGUCAUCCUCAGCAAACUGACACAAGAACAGAAAUUGAAACACCGCAUAUUCUCACUCAUAGGCGGGUUUUGGGGUACAUGUGAAGAACAUGCAAGAUUGUUGCAUAGGGACAUGGAUGAAUCUGGAGAACGUCAUCCUCAGCAAACUGACACAAGAACAGAAAAUGAAACACCGCAUAUUCUCACUCAUAGGCGGGUGAUGAAAAAUGAGAACACAUGGACACAGAGAGGGGAGUACUAAACACUGGGGUCUAUUGGGGGGAAAAGGGGAGGGCCAGUGGGAGGGGGAGGUGGGGAGGGAUAGCCUGGGGAGAAAUGCCAAAUGUGGGUGAAGGGGAGAAGGAAAGAAAAGCAAACUGCCAUGUGUGUUCCUACGCAACUGUCUUGCAUGCUCUGCUCAUGUACCCCAAAACCUAAAAUCCAAUAAAAAAUUAAAAAAAAAAAAAAGAAAUACAGGAUUAUGUGAAAAGACCUAAUCUAUGUUUGAUAGGUAUACCUGAAUGUGACGGAGAGAAUGAAUCCAAGCUGGAAAACACUCUUCAGGAUAUUAUCAAGGAGAACUUCCCCAACCUAGCAAGGCAGGCCAACAUUCAAGUCCAGGACAUACAGAGAACACCACAAAGACAUUCCUCAAUAAGAGCAACCCCAAGGCACAUAAUCAUCAGAUUCACCAGGGUUGAAAUGAAGGAAAAAUUGCUAAGGGAAGCCAGAGAGAAAGGUCAGGUUACUCACAAAGGGAAGCCCAUCAGACUCACAGCAGAUCUCUUGGCAGAAACCCUACAAUCCAGAAGAGAGUGGGGGCCAAUAUUCAACAUCCUUAAAGAAAAGAACUUUCAACCUAGAAUUUCAUAUCCUGCCAAACUAAGCUUCGUAAGCGAAAGAGAAAGAAAAUCCUUUACAAACAAGUAAUUGCUGAGAGAUUUCAUCACCACCAGGCCUGCCUUACAAGAGCUCCUGAAAGAAGCACUAAACAUAGAAAGAACAACCAGUAUCCACCACUCCAAAAACGUACCAAAUGGUAAAGACCCUCAGCAUAAUGAAGAAACUGCAUCAACUAAUGGGCAAAACAACCAGCUAGCAUCAAAAUGGCAGGAUCAAAUUCACACAUAACAAUAUUAACCUUAAAUGUAAAUGGGCUGAAUGUCCCAAUCAAAAGACACACACUGGCAAAUUGGAUAAAAAGCAAAAUUCAUUGGUGUGCUGCAUCCA